rnacentral:rRNA from 1 species
GACAGAGGAUGCAAGCGUUAUCCGGAAUGAUUGGGCGUAAAGCGUCUGUAGGUGGCUUUUUAAGUCCGCCGUCAAAUCCCAGGGCUCAACCCUGGACAGGCGGUGGAAACUACCAAGCUGGAGUACGGUAGGGGCAGAGGGAAUUUCCGGUGGAGCGGUGAAAUGCGUAGAGAUCGGAAAGAACACCAACGGCGAAGGCAGCUCGCUGGGACGGUACUGACGCUGAGGCGCGAAAGCGUGGGGAGCAAACAGG